AACUCCUAACCACUUCCUCUAAUUAUGAAAUGAUAAAAUAUCUGUCAGUAUAAUGACAAACAGUCACCAGAAGGCAGGAGUAGUCAACUCUUGAGACUCUGUUUAUAUCAGCAUACUUCAGGCAAUGGACAGUGUAUGUCAUAUUGUUGGUAUAUGAAUCAGCCAUGGUUGCAGAGCUUCAGAAAUUCGUUACUAGCUCACUGGUCACUUACAGAAACUCCAUAGCUUAACAGUUGAGUGACUGAAUCUUUCUUCCAUUACUUUUGUGUUUCUGCAUGGGCAAUUAGGCAAGAAGCAUAUUCACAUUUGCAUGUCAUCCCCCAGGUCAGUAAUUUCAACAAAAUAAUUACUGCAAAUAUGUUUGCUUAAUGUUAGCAUUUCAGUUUUGUCCUUUUUUUUAAGGGGGUUCUAAUUUUGAUCUCAUUUAGUGUGUUUGUGGACUUGAAAACAUUAUUUUCUUUAUAAUAAAUAUGUUGGUUUCCUGCGGUGUUCACUGCUGUAUAUACAGCAACAGCGUCCACCUGGAAGUUGUUCCUGCAUGUUGAUGUGGCUAAAUUAAAGUGGGAACACCUCCCGGUGUUUGGACAUCAUAGUUAAUAGAUGACUGUGUGCAUAUGCACUUCAUAUGAUUCAAUGCUUUCUGUUCCCGGUGGCUACUUGCCAGGCAGUGAUCGAGUGUAUGUGCAUAGGCCUUAUGCUUCGAAUUGCCAGAACAAACCCACAGCCAGCAAGGAUGUAGCAAAGGUGGUGUACAGCCCAUGUCUGACCACCAUGUGCCUCCAGUACAAGCCAGCAGUAGUAGCCUGUUUCUGCAUGCACCUUUGCAUGCAAGUGGUUCAGCUGGAAGAUGAGUUUGCUGCACAGCUUCAAAUGACUUGUAAACAUGAAAACAAAAUCAUGUUCUGCUGGUGGGUGCUUGUCAUCCAGCAAGCAAGGCAUCAAAUUCUUCAGCUUUCCAAGGGAUCCAGCACGGGCUGCGGUAUGGGCAGGAAAGGUUGAAAUAACCUUCAUUGUUGAUUCUGCUAGAAGUCUGCACAAUAAAUAUUUGUGCAGCAAACAUUUCCUGGAAAGUGAUUUCACUACACAUUGCAGCAAGCCACAACACUGUACUGGCUACAGUGGGAUGCUGUGGUGAAUACCUGGCAACAGCUAUUUGAUGAUCACCUUGUGAACACAUUUGAAGCUAUUCGUUCGUAGUCUGGUUU